GGAACACGAAGUGGGGAUCUGCACUUGGGGUGGUCAGCACUGCGGAUGCCCAGCAAAGUCACUGCCUGGUCCACAUCCCGAAGGGGUCUCUGCGCCUCAGUCGGCAUCGCAGCUGAUGGUGAAACUUUUGGUGUGGCAGAGGAGUGUCCACAAACUUCAGAAGUUGCUAGAGAAAAAUGAAAACGACUAGUUUUGAAAGCCUCACUUCUGCCAAUGGAAGCACAUUACAGCAUGUCGCCAACGCAAUCCACUUUCCACCACUUUCACAAAAAACGUUACUGCACAAUUAUACUAUCCUACCCUUAUAUA
rnacentral:sRNA from 1 species